AUUGACCUCGGAUCAGGUAGGGAUACCCGCUGAACUUAAGCAUAUCAAUAAGCGGAGGAAAAGAAACCAACAGGGAUUGCCUCAGUAACGGCGAGUGAAGCGGCAUCAGCUCAGAUUUGAAAUCUGGCCCCUUCGGGGUCCGAGUUGUAAUCUGUAGAGAGUGCUUCGGGUGAGACUACGGUCUAAGUCCAUUGGAACAUGGCGUCAUAGAGGGUGAGAAUCCCGUAUGUGACUGUGGCUCGAGCCCAUGUGAAGCCUCUUCGACGAGUCGAGUUGUUUGGGAAUGCAGCUCAAAAUGGGUGGUAAAUUUCAUCUAAAGCUAAAUACUGGCUGGAGACCGAUAGCGCACAAGUAGAGUGAUCGAAAGAUGAAAAGCACUUUGGAAAGAGAGUCAAACAGUACGUGAAAUUGUUGAAA
rnacentral:rRNA from 1 species